rnacentral:tRNA from 1 species
GCCUGAGUGGCUCAGUCAGUUGAGUGUCUGACUUCAGCUCAGGUCAUGAUCAAGCGGUUUGUGAGUUCGAGUCCCACGUCGGGCU